CAAUAGCGUAUAUUAAAGUUGUUGCAGUUAAAAAGCUCGUAGUUGGAUUUCUGGUGGGAGCGAUCGGUCUGGCGCUUAGCGCGAGUACUUGCAUCGUCUCCGGCCAUCCUUGGGGAGAGUCUGUCUGGCAUUAAGUUGUCGGGCAGAUGAUCCUCAUCGUUUACUGUGAAAAAAUUAGAGUGUUCAAAGCAGGCUUAUGCCGUUGAAUAUAUUAGCAUGGAAUAAUAAGAUAGGACUUUGGUACUAUUUUGUUGGUUUGCGCACCAAAGUAAUGAUUAAUAGGGACAGUUGGGGGUAUUCGUAUUCCGUUGUCAGAGGUGAAAUUCUUGGAUUUACGGAAGACGAACUACUGCGAAAGCAUUUACCAAGGAUGUUUUCAUUAA
rnacentral:rRNA from 1 species